GGUGGACUCUGCAUUGCCCAGUCCGUGAGAAUCCCCCAGGAACGCAAAGACAGGACCAUUGACUUCGAUAGAAUUAUCAAACAGCUCCUGGACACCCCCAACUCCAGGGCCGUCGUGAUUUUUGCCAACGAUGAGGAUAUAAAGCAGAUCCUUGCAGCAGCCAAAAGAGCUGACCAAGUUGGCCAUUUUCUUUGGGUGGGAUCAGACAGCUGGGGAUCCAAAAUAAACCCACUGCACCAGCAUGAAGAUAUCGCAGAAGGGGCCAUCACCAUUCAGCCCAAGCGAGCCACGGUGGAAGGGUUUGAUGCCUACUUUACGUCCCGUACGCUUGAAAACAACAGAAGAAAUGUAUGGUUUGCCGAAUACUGGGAGGAAAACUUCAACUGCAAGUUGACGAUUAGUGGGUCAAAAAAAGAAGACACAGAUCGCAAAUGCACAGGACAGGAGAGAAUUGGAAAAGAUUCCAACUAUGAGCAGGAGGGUAAAGUCCAGUUCGUGAUUGACGCAGUCUAUGCUAUGGCUCACGCCCUUCACCACAUGAACAAGGAUCUCUGUGCUGACUACCGGGGUGUCUGCCCAGAGAUGGAGCAAGCUGGAGGCAAGAAGUUGCUGAAGUAUAUCCGCAAUGUUAAUUUCAAUGGUAGUGCUGGCACUCCAGUGAUGUUUAACAAGAACGGGGAUGCACCUGGGCGUUAUGACAUCUUUCAGUACCAGACCACAAACACCAGCAACCCGGGUUACCGUCUGGUCGGGCAGUGGACAGACGAACUUCAGCUCAGCAUAGAAGACAUGCAGUGGGGUAAAGGAGUCCGAGAGAUACCCCCCUCAGUGUGCACACUACCAUGUAAGCCAGGACAGAGAAAGAAGACACAGAAAGGAACUCCUUGCUGUUGGACCUGUGAGCCUUGCGAUGGUUACCAGUACCAGUUUGAUGAGAUGACAUGCCAGCAUUGCCCCUAUGACCAGAGGCCCAAUGAAAAUCGAACCGGAUGCCAGGAUAUUCCCAUCAUCAAACUGGAGUGGCACUCCCCCUGGGCUGUGAUUCCUGUCUUCCUGGCAAUGUUGGGGAUCAUUGCCACCAUCUUUGUCAUGGCCACUUUCAUCCGCUACAAUGACACGCCCAUUGUCCGGGCAUCUGGGCGGGAACUCAGCUAUGUUCUUUUGACGGGCAUCUUUCUUUGCUACAUCAUCACUUUCCUGAUGAUUGCCAAACCAGAUGUGGCAGUGUGUUCUUUCCGGCGUGUUUUCUUGGGCUUGGGUAUGUGCAUCAGUUAUGCAGCCCUCUUGACGAAAACAAAUCGGAUUUAUCGCAUAUUUGAGCAGGGCAAGAAAUCAGUAACAGCUCCCAGACUCAUAAGCCCAACAUCACAACUGGCAAUCACUUCCAGUUUAAUAUCAGUUCAGCUUCUAGGGGUUUUCAUUUGGUUUGGUGUUGAUCCACCCAACAUCAUCAUAGACUAUGAUGAACAUAAGACAAUGAACCCUGAGCAAGCCAGAGGGGUUCUCAAGUGUGACAUUACAGAUCUCCAAAUCAUUUGCUCCUUGGGAUAUAGCAUUCUUCUCAUGGUCACAUGUACUGUGUAUGCCAUCAAGACUCGGGGUGUACCAGAGAAUUUUAAUGAAGCCAAGCCCAUUGGAUUCACUAUGUACACGACAUGUAUAGUAUGGCUUGCCUUCAUUCCAAUUUUUUUUGGCACCGCUCAAUCAGCGGAAAAGCUCUACAUACAAACUACCACGCUUACAAUCUCCAUGAACCUAAGUGCAUCAGUGGCGCUGGGGAUGCUAUACAUGCCGAAAGUGUACAUCAUCAUUUUCCACCCUGAACUCAAUGUCCAGAAACGGAAGCGAAGCUUCAAGGCGGUAGUCACAGCAGCCACCAUGUCAUCGAGGCUGUCACACAAACCCAGUGACAGACCCAACGGUGAGGCAAAGACCGAGCUCUGUGAAAACGUAGACCCAAACAGUAAGUAACUCUCCGUUUCUUUCAUCUUCCCAUCCUGCAUCAGGAAGCUCUAGAAGAUGUGGGGUGUGCUUGCCUCUCUGGAGAUAUACUGUGAUCGUUCUUGUCUUAUGGGCUGGGUUGCCUUGGUGAAUGCCAGCUUCUGCUCUUUUGAGUUCGACUCAUUCCUGCCACCAUUUUCUUUUUGUUCCUUGUUGGAAAGAAGCUUUUGGAGGCUCUGCUUCAGAAGUGUGAAGCCUCCCCCUUCCCUUGCUUCUUGUCCUCUGGCACUGAAUCCUCCAACUGACAAAUGCACCUAUCAGGUUGUUCUUUUCUUGCACCCUUCCUGCUAAGGCAACAACUUUUUGUCAGGGAAACAUCCAUACUUAAUGAACUGUAUCGGUGGGAAUUAAUUAGAAUUUUGGAAGUGUAACUUUUUUCCUCUAGCAUGUGAAUGUUGAAAAAGUUAUUUUGUACUAAUCAGGUCUUCUAGAAACAUAUAAAAUAUUGGAAAAAGUUGUCAAACUUUAAUCCAGGUACACAGGGCCAGACACUACCAUGAUAAUGGCAUCAUACUGUGGGGAAAAACAUAUCUACCAUACCACUGGAGCAGAGUUUUAUUCUAUGCAAGACAAACCUUAGGGAAGAAAUCAAGGAAAAAAAACAUUGGAUUUCAGAUGCUAUUAUAUGGCAUAUCUGCAAAACUCUAGGAGCCUUUAGUCAUGCAUGCAAAUGUCCCCAGGUAAAAUGGGCAUAUAGCUAUCACUUUGUAAGUUACACAAGACCAGCUCAAAGGUUAAAUGCUUAGAAUUCCCAAUUGCUAACUUUACUAACAAUAUGGUGGUAAGAGUAAAUUUCAGAUUUAAAAUACUAGUUUUAAGAUUUGUUUUCCAGGAAUAUUUUGGCUAGUUGCAUUUAGAAUGAGGCAGAUUCAAAUAUUUGUGAUACUUCCUGUUGUUUAAGGCAGAAGGGAUUUCAGGUUAUCCAUUAAGUCAUUCACGACAUAUUGUAUUUCAGUUAGAAGCUGAUCUUGGUGUCAAAUGCUUAAUGCCAAAUAGAAGGAAGUCUCAAUUUUAAAUACUCUUGAAGAAAUCCUUUUUGCUCUGCAAAUAAGAGAGAUAUCUUUAAUAAAAACCAAGAAGCCAACUGGGUUUGAUCCUGACAAACACUACACAAAGAACUGUGAUUUUGGCCUGUCUCUAUUUAUGAAUAGUUGAGUGAAUGUCGUGAAAUACUUUGAAAAUAUGUAGACAAAGUAACAAGGUUAAUUAACAACAUUGUGGGCUCCAGUUUGACUUUUUGACAGAAGUCCUAGGACAAGUCUAAAGGAACAUACUGAGAAGGGAGGAACAGAAUGAAUGAUAGGCUCUGUUGUGUCUCCAGAGCAAGUGGCCAAUUGAGAGGAGGGCAAGUGGAUGGUGACUUGCUGUGGCAUUCGGUGUGAUGUAGGAAGAGGCUUUGGGUUGAGACAUACCUGGGUUCAAAUGUAAACCACUCCAUUUACCAGCCAUGUGGCAUUAAGAAUCACUGAGCUUUUCUAAAACUCAACAUAAUUAUGUAUAAAAGAGAUAAUAACUAUGUCAUAAGUGUAUCACAAAAUACUAUAUUGAGAAAAUACUAUAUCAACUAAAUGUCAACGUCUUUCCCUUCCUGAACAGGCAAAAAGCUUUGCUUAGAAAUAAGUUUCAGCAUAAUUUAUUAAGAUAUAGUAGAUAAAAAGGUGCAGUUAAGUGUAGAUUAAACACCACAGGGUAGAUAAAACUCAAUCCUCAAAAGAAGAAUUUAUGGCCGGGCGCGGUGGCUCACGCCUGUAAUCCCAGCACUUUGGGAGGACGAGGUGGGCGGAUCACCUGAGGUUGGGAGUUGGUGACCAGCCUGACCAACAUGGAGAAACCCCGUCUCUACUAAAAAUACAAAAUUAGCCGGGCAUGGUUGCGCGUGCCUGUAAUCCCAGCUACUUGGGAGGCUGAGGCAGGAGAAUCGCUUGAACCCAGGAGGGCAGAUGUUGCAGUGAGCUGAGAUCGUGCCAUUGUACUCCAGCCUGGGCAACAAGAGCAAAACUCCGUCU
rnacentral:sRNA from 1 species